GAUGAACGCUGGCGGCGUGCCCAAUACAUGCAAGUCGAGCGAACGGACGAGAAGCUUGCUUUUCUGAUGUUAGCGGCGGACGGGUGAGUAACACGUGGAUAACCUACCUAUAAGACUGGGAUAACUUCGGGAAACCGGAGCUAAUACCGGAUAAUAUUUUGAACCGCAUGGUUCAAAAGUGAAAGACGGUCUUGCUGUCACUUAUAGAUGGAUCCGCGCCGCAUUAGCUAGUUGGUAAGGUAACGGCUUACCAAGGCAACGAUGCAUAGCCGACCUGAGAGGGUGAUCGGCCACACUGGAACUGAGACACGGUCCAGACUCCUACGGGAGGCAGCAGUAGGGAAUCUUCCGCAAUGGGCGAAAGCCUGACGGAGCAACGCCGCGUGAGUGAUGAAGGUCUUCGGAUCGUAAAACUCUGUUAUUAGGGAAGAACAUAUGUGUAAGUAACUGUGCACAUCUUGACGGUACCUAAUCAGAAAGCCACGGCUAACUACGUG
rnacentral:rRNA from 1 species